UGGAGACGCCAACGGCCGGGGCAGAUUUCCCUGCGGCUGCAUAAAGACUUCCACACACGCUUGGAGCACCAGCACAGAAUACAAAUCACCAAGCAACAUAGCUGAAUCCCUGCUGGAACUACCACCAUAGAUCUAGACAUCGGAGGACUGGGAGAAUAUAUGUCAAGCACACAUACACUAAAGGCUGGAACACCUGUUAACCCUUUAUGGUCCUCUCUCAGAUGUCCAUAAUCAAAAGCGCAUCUACCAAUGUGACAUACUUACGCAAUCAAAAAAGAUUUCCCUCCCAAGCUUCUGUAUUUGAAGAAUAAUGAAGAAAAAGAACCUUUCCUGCGGGUGCUGUUCCUGACUCCAGAAGUAUCAAGCAGGAUGCUGAAGUAUGGUUAAAGUGCUAUAUAGCACUAUGUUUAUUAACCCCUUAAGGACCAGGCCAUUUUACACCUUAGGACCAGAGCGUUUUUUGAACAUCUAACCACUGUCACUUUAAACAUUAAUAACUCUGGAAUGCUUUUAGUUAUCAUUCUGAUUCCAAGAUUGUUUUUUCGUGACAUAUUCUACUUUAACAAAGUGGUAAAUUUG